GAACGCUGGCGGCAUGCCUUACACAUGCAAGUCGAACGGGCAGCACGGGAGCAAUCCUGGUGGCGAGUGGCGAACGGGUGAGUAAUAUAUCGGAACGUGCCCGGUCGUGGGGGAUAACGUAGCGAAAGCUACGCUAAUACCGCAUACGAUCUACGGAUGAAAGCGGGGGAUCGCAAGACCUCGCGCGAUUGGAGCGGCCGAUAUCAGAUUAGGUAGUUGGUGAGGUAAAGGCUCACCAAGCCGACGAUCUGUAGCUGGUCUGAGAGGACGACCAGCCACACUGGGACUGAGACACGGCCCAGACUCCUACGGGAGGCAGCAGCGGGGAAUAUUGGACAAUGGGCGCAAGCCUGAUCCAGCCAUGCCGCGUGCAGGAAGAAGCAUCUAUGGUGUGUAAACUGCUUUUGUACGGAACGAAAAGGCUCUUUCUAAUAAAGAGGGCCCAUGACGGUACCGUAAGAAUAAGCACCGGCUAACUACGUG
rnacentral:rRNA from 1 species